rnacentral:rRNA from 1 species
AUACGUAGGUGGCAAGCGUUGUCCGGAAUUAUUGGGCGUAAAGCGCAUGUAGGCGGUGCCUUAAGUCUGUCGUGAAACUGCGGGGCCUAACCCCGUAUGGCGAUGGAAACUGUGGCACUUGAGUGCAGGAGAGGAAAGGGGAACUCCCAGUGUAGCGGUGAAAUGCGUGGAUAUUGGGAAGAACACCGGUGGCUAAGGCGCCUUUUUGGACUGUGUCUGACGCGUAGAUGCGAAAGCCAGGGUAGCGAACGGGAUUAGUGACCCCGUAAGUCCGGGCCGUAAACGAAUGAUACAAGGUUUGGGAGGUAUCGACCCCAGCCGUGCCGGAGUUAACGCAAUAAUUACCCCGCCUGGGGAGAACGGCAGCAAGGCUGGCACUCUCGAG